rnacentral:rRNA from 2 species
AGACCCGAAACCCGGUGAUCUAGCCAUGGGCAGGUUGAAGGUUGGGUAACACUAACUGGAGGACCGAACCGACUAAUGUUGAAAAAUUAGCGGAUGACCUGUGGCUGGGGGUGAAAGGCCAAUCAAACCGGGAGAUAGCUGGUUCUCCCCGAAAGCUAUUUAGGUAGCGCCUCGUGAAUUCAUCUCCGGGGGUAGAGCACUGUUUCGGCUAGGGGGCCAUCCCGGCUUACCAACCCGAUGCAAACUGCGAAUACCGGAGAAUGUUAUCACGGGAGACACACGGCGGGUGCUAACGUCCGUCGUGAAGAGGGAAACAACCCAGACCGCCAGCUAAGGUCCCAAAGUCAUGGUUAAGUGGGAAACGAUGUGGGAAGGCCCAGACAGCCAGGAUGUUGGCUUAGAAGCAGCCAUCAUUUAAAGAAAGCGUAAUAGCUCACUGGUCGAGUCGGCCUGCGCGGAAGAUGUAACGGGGCUAAACCAUGCACCGAAGCUGCGGCAGCGACACUCAGGUGUUGUUGGGUAGGGGAGCGUUCUGUAAGCCUGUGAAGGUGGCCUGUGAGGGUUGCUGGAGGUAUCAGAAGUGCGAAUGCU